rnacentral:rRNA from 1 species
AUUGAACGCUGGCGGCAGGCUUAACACAUGCAAGUCGAGCGAGCCGCGGACGGGUGAGUAAUGUCUGGGAAACUGCAUGAUGGAGGGGGAUCACUACUGGAAAGGGUCGCUAAUACCGCAUACCAUCAGAUGUGCCCAGAUGGGUUUAGCUAGGAGGUGGGGACAUGGCUCACCUAGGCGACGAACCCUAGCUGGUCUGAGAGGAGGAACAGCCACACUGGAACUGAGACACGGUCCAGACUCCUACGGGAGGAAGCAGUGGGGAAUAGUGCACAAUGGGCGCAAGCCUGAUGCCGCCAUGCCGCGUGUGGGAAGAAGGCCUUCGGGUUGUAAAGCACUUUCAGCGAGGAGGCGUUACUCGCAGAAGAAGCACCGGCUAACUCCGUGCCAGCAGCCGCGGUAAUAC